rnacentral:rRNA from 1 species
CCGUUUGAUCUUGACGGUAGUCAUAUGCUUGUCUCUGAGACUAAGCCAUGCAAGUGUAAGUAGAAGCUAAAGUUGAUUUUUGAAUCUACUUAUUUAUAAGGUUAAACUGCAUAUGGCUCAUUAAACCAGUUAUAAUUGAAUUGAUGGAUAAUUUUUUUUUUAAAAAAAAAAAAAAAUUUAAAUGGAUAACCUUAGUAAUUCCAAGGCUAAUACAUGCAACAUAACCUUUAAAUUUUUUAUUUAAAGGUGUAUUUAUUUGAUAUAACAAAAAAAUUUAAAAAAAAACCAAAUCUUAGAAUAUAUUUAAAAAAAUUCUUAAUUUCUUAAAAAGAUGAAUUAAAAUAACUAAACAAAUCAUUUUUUUUUUAAAAAAAUGAUGAUAUAAACAAGUUUCUGACCUAUCAACUGUCGAUGGUAAAAUAUUAGUUUACUAUGGUUUUAACGGGUGACGGAGAAUUUGGGUUUGGUUCCGGAGAGGGAGCCUGAGAAAUGGCUACUACUUCCAAGGAAGGCAGCAGGCGCGCAAAUUACCCAAUCUCAAUUCGAUGAGGUAGUGACAAGAAAUAUCCAUAUAGAAUCAGUUAAAUGGUUCUAUAAUGGGAAUGAGUAAGAUAUAAAAACACAAAUAAGGAACAAUUGGAGGGUAAGUCUGGUGUUAGCAGUUGUGGUAAUUCCAGCUCCAAUAGUGUAUAUUAAAGUUGUUGCGGUUAAAAAGCUCGUAGUUGAACCGCGGGUUCGAUAACCACCUACCAACUUCACUACGGUGAUGUUGGAAUCAAUAGGGGGUGAUCUCACCCGAUCAAUCGAUCCAUACAUAAAAGGCUUUCGGAUCGGGCCUGCUUGGUCCGGGAGUCGUAUGGUUCAGUUUACUGUGAACAAAUUCGAGUGUUUAAAGCAGGCUAUUGCUUGAAGACAUUAGCAUGGGAUAAUGAAAUACGACCUAAUCCUUACUUCAUUGGUUCUAAGGAAAAGGUAAUGAUUAAUAGGGACAGUCGGGGUCGCUAGUA